ensembl:lncRNA
GGCUUAUGGGGAGAGUCUGAAGGAACUGGAAUUGUUCAGUUUGGAGAAGAGGAGACUUGGGGGAGACCUUGUUGCUCUCUACAGUUCCCUGAAAGGAAGUUGGGACAAGAUGGGAGUUGGCCUUUUCUCUCAGCCUGUUGGGGAUGUUUAGAAUGCAAAGAAGCACAAAGUUACAUAAAGGCUCCUCCCAGUGGAUUUAGGGUGUAUACUGAAGCUGGAGUGAGGAAGUUUGAGGCCAUGACUGUGAAUUCUGCAGGCUCUCCCUGUUAACUACCUUUAGCUUACAGAUCGAGUGUGUGAGAAACAUAGCUGUAGCACUACAUACUUCUCAUCCCAUGCACUUCUUCCCUAAAAAUCGGAGUCACCAGCUACUUGCCAAAAGGAAUACUCACCUGGGUGCAGGUAUAACUCACUGUAUGAACUGCUCAUAGGGCUGAUCUUAAAGCUGCAUCCAAGAAUGCAAAUAGUGUCUCUUUGCCUUAUGUUGUGAAAUAUCCUGUGUGAGCACUUGAUUAGAUUUUCUCUCCUUGGAUGUAAUUCAUCAGUGUUACCUUGAUUCAAAUAAUUCUUGUACUGUGCUGUUGAAACCAGUUCCAGAAAUAAUGUGAUGGUGUUUAUAGGUUCCUGAAGAAAGUAUUGUAUGGCUACAGAUGAUUAAUAAUGUGUAUCAGUUAUAACUGUAUAGGGACUAUUAUCUAGUAACUAGCUGAGCCAGUGAUCUAUCAAUUAAGAGUUUUCAGGAAUUACAAAUUUAUGUAGUCAGAUUACGGUUAUCUGUGGUUUGUUAAAUGAUGAUUAAUUGAAACUCAGGGACUGAGUUUAUGAUUACGAUGACUCUUCAAUACACGACAGAAAAGAAAUAAGCAAUACGGUGCAUGAGAAAUUGAGAGAGAGCAUUUAAUGAGGUUGCAAUUUAGUGAGGUUACCAUGCAAGCUUUACCUGCAUAUUCUGGGGGUAUGGUUACCUUCUUAUCAUUAUGGUUAUAAUUUUCAAGACAUAUUGGAAAAUGUACUUAUUUGUUUGGGGCCUUGACCCCCAGAAUAUAUGAGUCUAAGUUGAGAAGGAGAGGGUUGAUCUUGGACUUGAUCCUUGUGAGUUCUUUCCAACUCAAUAUAUUCUGUGAUUCUGUGAUUACACAUGUAGGUUUCAGUAGAAUAGUUCCUUUCUCUCCCUGGAUUACUUUCUCUGCAGAUUGGUUAUAUCACUGAGCCAGGUCAGCUCUUUCUUCGUCUUUAGGUGGAGCCAAGAGACCACUAAGACAUUACAAAUUUUGUAGUUUGGCUGUUAUCUAUAGAACAUGAUUAAAUAAUGAUAUCAUUAUCUUCAGUGGCAAUGCUUGUAGAAAUGAAGCAAGAGUAUUAUCAGCUGUAGUCAGUGACUAUGAUAGAGAGUUGAUAUGGGAUAUAUCAGAUUAAUGAAUAAAAAGCAGGGGGAAUCAGAUUAUAUAUCUGCAUCUGCAGUUUUCCAUUCACUGCUUGUAAUCACAACACACUUUACUUAAUUUUGCAUAUGACCUCCCUUAUAAGCUCUCCUUAGCAACUGGCAGUAUGAAUAGGAUAGAGACCUCUUUGUUCUCCUGUGUUAGAGCUUUACUGAGUAUUUGCAGGUAAAAUUGUUAUCUGUAAAGUUGCCAAUUUAUUUUGGGAUAGCACAAUGAACAAUAUCCCUGCAAAGCCUUUUGAGAAGCUGCAUGAAUAUAAUGAAUGAUGUAUUGCUGUGAAAGAGAGAAGAUAGCUGAUGCUGCAAUCUUUUCAUGUGUGAUGUUGCCAAACUUUCAUUGUUCUGCAGCUGCCUCCCUACAGUGACCCAAGGCUGAGGAAUUACAGUGGCAGCAAAGGAAAAAGCAAACCAUUCACAAACUUCCUGUGAAAAAAUGCAUGCAAAAAAGUGGAGAAUAAAAUCCCCUGCUAAACCCAUUAUGAAAAAUAUCUAUCUGAAUUUUAAUUCCUGUUUUUUGAUCAUGGCUUUUGGAUCAGCCAUAUGAAGGUCAACCUCCUCAAAAACGCUCUGAAGAAGUCAAGUUACCCUAAAAUUCCUCCUUCACUCUUGCUUUCCUUUGUAAAGUAAAUAAAUCAUCACAUUCAUUUCUGGCACUGAGCUUUUUUUUAG